GCUUCCUCAUCGCUACCAUUUUUUCUGAGAACCCCCAGGGGCAUAUGUGAGUGGGCGAGUAGAAUGUCGGUAUAACCGGAUACUAACAGAGCCGGUGUCUCAGUUCACAAUGAAGGGAGCAAAGUGUCGUCUCCGAAUCUGUUACAGGGCCUUUUCCUAGAAGACCAGGGGGCUGAAGACAAAGGCUCGCGUGAUUCCAGGGGACCCACCCGGCUAAUCCAGGAUAAUCUCCCCAUUUCAAGGUUGAGUGACAGAUUCCACUGUGAACUCAAAAUCACGCUCUCCAAAGAUAAAGAAACUGAAGCUCAGAGAGGUGAAUGACCUUCUGGCGGUCACACAGCCAGGAAGAGGUGGAGCCUGGAUCUGCUGCCCCUGGGCCCUUUGGAGCAGGUGGGCUCCAAAGAUAUACUCUGCCGAUUUCUUAAGGGGUGAGGAGGACUGUGGAUAUGUUCAUAACCCCCUCUCCAGGCCCCAGGAACACCCAGUGCCCAGGUCCUGCCAGCCAGGCAACCUUGUGCCUGCAAGCCCUGGCAGCCUGUCCGGGCCCAGAUCCAUCACCCCGGCACCAACCAUGCCCUGGGCCUGACUCCGUCCAUCCCUCUAAUGCCGCAUCGACUGUGCUCGGGCACGUUCCUGAGGCGGCCUCAAGAGCGCUGAAUAAUUCAGUUCUGCGUAAUGGGAUAAUGAAUUUACUGACAACCCAGUGGGGUCUCGGUACUUACAUUUCAAGAAAUACUGACUCCCUAGGCCUGCUCUGCAGGCUGGAGACGUACACGUGCCAAGAAACUGUUGCCUUUACUUGCCUCGUGGGGUUCAGGCUUGACUGAAUGGAGACCCUACUUUGGUCUCACUGACUGUUAAACUGCUUCGGCUAGUGGGGAGCCUGGGGGUAGGGCGACUGCCUAGUUGGAACUUUGGGGCGAGGUGGAAGUGAAAUCACAGAAGAUUGGACAUGCAGAGCUGGAAAGGACCCCUUGGUGCUGCAUACCCAUUUUAUGAACCGGGAAACUGAGGUUGUGGUAAGGACGGGCCUCUGCUCCUGCACACUGUGUUCUGUGGCUGGGAACGCCGGGGAUGCCUCAGGACUCCGGGAAGGUGACCUGCUUGUUUUCCUUCUAACCCGCUGUUUUCCCCGUCCCCCAGCUGCUGAAGGGUUGCUGCUAAUGACUCCCAGCUGCCCCUUCGCUGGAGAUGAGCCCUCAGCCAAACGAGAGGCGUCCCCUGGAAGGCCGGCCCACCCUGCCUUCCUUUCCCGACCUGGGCAGACGAUGGCUGAUGACUGGCUGAUGUGGUGCAAAAGGCCACCCCGAGCCUCAAGGCCGUGACAUGAUUAAUCGUUUUCUUCUGAUCUAAUUUUGGAACAUGAAAAACAGCACAUUUGUCUUGAAGAAAAAUGAUGUGCCGAACUGCGCAGAUGGAAAUUUCGAGCAAUGAGAAAGAUUAAAGUGAAACCCCACUCCUUAGACCUAAUCAUGAGUUGUAGAUUAUUCUGUCGGCCCAGCCAGAUGGUAGCUCUGAUUCCACAGCCCCUUCUUAUAUUAAUGAAUACUAGACUGUUAUAUUUGACUUAGGUAAGUGAAAUGUCUAUCAGAGCUAAUGGACUGCCAGCCAACAUAACACAUGUUGUACCGCUAAGGGUCCUUGCUGCAUUUUUCAUGUUUUAUACUAAUGUAGAACAUUUUGUUUCCUACUGUUUUUCAUCAUUGUCACUGUUUGCUAAAUAUUUUCACAUGGAAGCGGGGAGAGGGAGACAGAGUCAGGAGGAAAAAGAACCCCCCUCCAAACUUGUGUCCAAAGCUAAUUUCCUCCCGUUGGGCUUGGCUAUAACUCUACAAGUAAAACAGUCACCCCGAGCAAUGCGUACAGAAACUCAAUAGUAACGUGAUUAAGUUCCUAGUCAACAAGACUACACUCCACUGUAUGUUAACAAACCUAAUUAUAGCCCCGUGGUGAUAAAUUCGGCCAGGGCCCUUGCUGCACAUCUCUGAGGUCAUGUCUCCAAAAGCAGCUUGACCCUCAUGUCCCAGGGGAGAGGAUUGUCCGGGAGAGGAUUCCCAGCCUCAGCUUGGGGGGAGGGGCUGUUCCUCCUUCACCCCCUUGUCCAGUCCCUGGGGAAGGUGGGCAGAUGCUAGGAAAUACUGCAGAGCAGAGGUCAGAGGUCUGAGCAACUGGGCAGUAGGCUUUCCUGGCUGAGGCUGGGAUGGCAUUCGGAGCCGCUGGCCCCAUCCGCGUCAUAAACAGUAACAGGAUGCCUGAGAAGGGAGUGUAGUGCUCCCAGCCUGUUGGUCCCAUGCAGGCCUGGGGGCACCCCCUCUGGGCCCAGUAGAGGGUGGCUCAGUCCCUUCCCCUUCUUCCAGAUGCCUUGUCCAUACACUGGAAAGCCCCUGAAGAGCUAGCCGUGCAAAAGGCAAUCCUCUUGUUUGUGAAGGACCCAAGCCUGGGUGGGGAUAGUGUCCUGGAGAAAAGGAGUCCCGCAGAUGGAAUCCUAAAGGUGUCUGGGGACAGAUAAGAUGGAGGUAGUUGAGGGACAUCUUCAAGGGGUGGUGUCUUGAGAAAAAAAUGGAAAGAAAUACAUAGGGAGGAGAGACUGCGAGAAAUGAAAACACAUGGAGAGAGAUGGAAGGAAGAGACAAACGCACACAGAGAGAGACAUAGACGUAAAGAAAUGUAGAUACCAACAGAAUAGAUGGCUUGUGAACUCAGAGAAACUCUUCUUGCUCCAGCCAAAAUGAGUUCCCUAAAAAGCACAUCUGACCCCUGCUUAAAAAUUCUCUCUUGGCUGUGAUUCCCAUAGGAGUCAGUUCAAAUGUCUUGGCUGGGUAUAGAUGACCCUUUUCCAUUUGCCCCUAACUUACCUCUCUGGCCUCUUCUCUCACCUUGAACCCUCCACUUUUGGGUAUGAACCUCCACAUGAGCCUUCUCCGGGUCCCCAAGAAUGCCAGGUUCUUUCAGAACAAUGUGCUUUUGUCUGUGUUUUAUCUCUAUCCUACUUCCUUGCAUUCUUUCUCUGGCAAACUCCUACUCAACCUUCAAGACCCAGCUCCCAUGUGUCCUCCCCUGCCACAUUUUCCUGACAUUCCCCAGGAGGCAUUAUUUCACCCUCUGGCUCCCCCAUAGCAUUCUGUCCAUAUCCAUGUGAAAAUAUUGUCCAGGCUGUAUUGAAAAAUGUCUGUUUACAGAUCUCUCCCUCUAUACCUCCCUUCCUUUACAGCUGUUCCU